AGAGGAGCCAAGCGUUGUCCGGAUUGACUGGGCGUAAAGCGCACGCAGGCGGAUGCGCGCGUGGGGUGUGAAAUCUGGCCGCUUAACGGCCAGGCGCCAUCCCAUACGGCGCGUCUGGAGUGAUGCAGAGGUCGAUGGAAUUGCCGGUGUAGUGGUGAAAUGCGUAGAGAUCGGCAGGAACACCCAGGGGGAAACCAGUCGACUGGGCAUCUACUGACGCUGAGGUGCGAGAGCGUGGGGAGCGAACCGGAUUAGAUACCCGGGUAGUCCACGCCGUAAACGAUGGCCACUCGGCCUUUGGGGGCGGAAUCUCCGUCCGUGGGGGCCUUAGCUAACGCGGGAAGUGGCCCGCCUGGGAACUACGAGCGCAAGCUUA
rnacentral:rRNA from 1 species